rnacentral:rRNA from 1 species
UGGCGGCAUGCCUUACACAUGCAAGUCGAACGGCAGCACGGGGGCAACCCUGGUGGCGAGUGGCGAACGGGUGAGUAAUAUAUCGGAACGUGCCAAGUAGUGGGGGAUAACUAGUCGAAAGAUUAGCUAAUACCGCAUACGCUCUACGGAGGAAAGUGGGGGAUCGCAAGACCUCAUGCUAUUUGAGCGGCCGAUAUCUGAUUAGCUAGUUGGUAGGGUAAAAGCCUACCAAGGCGACGAUCAGUAGCUGGUCUGAGAGGACGACCAGCCACACUGGGACUGAGACACGGCCCAGACUCCUACGGGAGGCAGCAGUGGGGAAUUUUGGACAAUGGGGGCAACCCUGAUCCAGCAAUGCCGCGUGAGUGAAGAAGGCCUUCGGGUUGUAAAGCUCUUUUGUCAGGGAAGAAACGCGCUGAGCUAA